AACGAACGCUGGCGGCGCGCUUAACACAUACAAGUCGAACGAGAAGGCGUAGCAAUACGCUUGUACAGUGGCGAACGGGUGAGUAAUACGUGGGCGACCUACCCUCGAGUGGGGAAUAACCCGCCGAAAGGCGGGCUAAUGCCGCGUACGCUUCCAUCUUUAUGGAGGUGGAAGGAAAGCCGUGCCGUGGGCACGGCGCUCAAGGAUGGGCUCACGUCCUAUCAGCUUGUUGGUAGGGUAACGGCCUACCAAGGCUCCGACGGGUAGCUGGUCUGAGAGGACGAUCAGCCACACUGGCACUGCGACACGGGCCAGACUCCUACGGGAGGCAGCAGUGAGGAAUAUUGCGCAAUGGGCGAAAGCCUGACGCAGCGACGCCGCGU
rnacentral:rRNA from 1 species